UCUGCAAUACUAAAUCUCUCUAAAUCAAGCUCUUUCUCUAAUUAUAUUUUAAGAAUAUAAUAAAAACGAAAACCAGUGACGAAUUUAAAUAAAGAAUUAUAGCAUUUAAAUUAUACUGUAAACAAGUGUAAUUAUUUAUUGCUCUGAGGUAAAAAUAAAGUUGGUAGAAUAGUAGUUAAUUAAAUUUUGCUGACGUAAACGGUGUGGUGUAGCCACAGGGUGUAGCAUAUUGAAUUUCAGUUUUUCAUUACUAGUUCACUACCUAGUACCUACUUUGUUCAACUAUAAAACAGUUUCAAACUGUUUUUGAAGCCAGAGAAGAUAAUAUUUUUAAAUAUUCAAUGAUGUGGAUAAUACGCGGAUAAAAUGAACAUUUUAUUUCCUGCACGGUCUCGAAGUUCGAACCGCCAUUAUGAUUUAAGAUUGAGGUCUUCACUUAUAAGUUAUAAUCUAAGGUCUUCACCACUGAGCCGCCAGGCGUGUCCACACAGAGCAGCCUCGCGAAGCGUUUUCGUCGCGAAACAGCCCGGUCAGUGUGGACGUGACUCAGCCGAGAAUAUUUGGAUUCGCCAAUUGAAAAAUAAUGAUACCAACACUUUAUACGACAUUUAUAUGCAAAUUUUGUAAACCAACGAGAGCGUUUCACAUCCCGCUUCGUGGUCAGAUUUUUGCAAUUUUAA